AGCUCGUAGUUGAAUUUCUGCUGCAUUGUCGAGUCCCUCCGGGGUCUUGGCACGUGGCUUUUUUCGGACGGUUCGCUGUCUGGAUGUUUACUUUGAGAAAAUUAGAGUGCUCAAAGCAGGCUUUUGCCUUGAAUAGUUUAGCAUGGAAUAAUAAAGUAGGACUUUGGUUCUAUUUUGUUGGUUUUAGGUACCAAAGUAAUGGUUAAUAGGAACAGUUGGGGGCAUUCGUAUUUAACUGUCAGAGGUGAAAUUCUUAGAUUUGUUAAAGACGAACUACUGCGAAAGCAUUUGCCAAGGAUGUUUUCAUUAAUCAAGAACGAAAGUUAGGGGAUCGAAGACGAUCAGAUACCGUCGUAGUCCUAACCAUAAACAAUGCCGACUAGAGAUUGGAGGUCGUCAGUU
rnacentral:rRNA from 1 species